AUUUGUCUUUUAAUUGAAGACUAGUAUGAAUGGUUAAACGAAAAAUGAUCUUUUUUUCCUAUAUUUUUUUAAUUUAUUUUAUCAGUGAAAAGACUGAUAUGCUUCAGAAAGACGAGAAGACCCUAUAGAAUUUUAUAUUAAAUUUUAAAUUUUGUAUAUCUAUUUUAAUAAUAAUAUUUACAAAUAUAGUAUUUUGUUGGGGCGACAUUAAGAUAUAUUAACUCUUAGUUAUUAAAACUUUUAUAAAAGAAUUAAUUUGAUCCUUUAAAAAAGAUUAAGAGAUAAAAUUACCUUAGGGAUAACAGCGUAAUCUUUUUUGAGAGUUCUAAUCGACAAAAAGGUUUGCGACCUCGAUGUUGGACUAAAUGUGUGGCAAGGUGUAGAAGUUUUGUUUUUGGGUCUGUUCGACCCUUAUUAUUUUACAUGAUCUGAGUUCAGACCGGUGUAAG
rnacentral:rRNA from 1 species